rnacentral:rRNA from 1 species
GUCUGUAUGAAGUUAUAUAGAGUCUAACCUGCCCAUUGAAUAUUUUAAAAGGCCGCGGUAUAUUAACUGUGCAAAGGUAGCAUAAUCAUUAGUUUUUUAAUUGAAGGCUUGUAUGAAGGGUUGGACAAAGAAUAAUCUGUUUUUAUUUUUGUUUUUGAAUUUAACUUUUAAGUGAAAAGGCUUAAAUAAAUUUAAGGGACGAUAAGACCCUAUAAAUCUUUAUAUUAAAUUAUUUUUAGUUAUCUAAUAUUGUAAAUAAAACGAUAAAAUAAGAUAUAUUGUGUUGGGGUGAUGAGAAUAUAAAUAAGUAACUGUUCUAAAGUAAAAACAAAGUUAUUUGUAUAAAAAUAAUAGAUCCUUUAUUGAGAUUAAAAGUUUAAGUUACUUUAGGGAUAACAGCGUUAUUUUUUUUGAGAGUUCUUAUCGAAAAAAAAGUUUGCGACCUCGAUGUUGAAUUAAAAUUUCUUUGUGGUGUAGUUGUUACAAAAAGAGAGUCUGUUCGACUUUU